rnacentral:rRNA from 1 species
GACGAACGCUGGCGGCGUGCCUAACACAUGCAAGUCAGGGAGAAAGAGGUAGCAAUAUCUCGAGUAAACCGGCGAACGGGUGAGUAACACGUAGGUAACCUGCCCUCGAGUUGGGAAUAACUUCGAGAAAUCGAGGCUAAUACCGGAUAAUGCAACGAACCCGCAUGGGUUUGUUGUUAAAGUUCCGCGCAAGCGGAACGCUUGAGGAUGGACCUGCGGCCGAUUAGCUAGUUGGCGGAUAACAGCCCACCAAGGCGACGAUCGGUAGCCGACCUGAGAGGGUGACCGGCCACACUGGGACUGAGAUACGGCCCAGACUCCUACGGGAGGCAGCAGUGAGGAAUAUUGCGCAAUGGGCGAAAGCCUGACGCAGCGACGCCGCGGU